rnacentral:tRNA from 1 species
GGUAGUGUAGCAUAGUGGUUUGGGCAUCAGACUAUAACUCUGGAGACCAGAAUUCAGAUUCCUGCUCAGUCA